CCCUUAGAUGUUCUGGGCCGCACGCGCGCUACACUGACGAAUGCAACGAGCUUAUAACCUUGGCCGAAAGGUCUGGGUAAUCUCCAAAUUUCGUCGUGAUGGGGAUAGAUUAUUGCAAUUAUUAAUCUUCAACGAGGAAUGCCUAGUAAGCGCAAGUCAUCAGCUUGCGUUGAUUACGUCCCUGCCCUUUGUACACACCGCCCGUCGCUCCUACCGAUUGAAUGGUCCGGUGAAUCUUUCGGACUGCGCGCGGCCUCGUGCCGUGUCGCGGAAAGUCAGGUAAACCUUAUCACUUAGAGGAAGGAGAAGUCGUAACA
rnacentral:rRNA from 1 species